rnacentral:rRNA from 1 species
UCGAGAGGCUUCGGCAAUGGGGGAAACCCUGACCGAGCGACGCCGCGUGGGUGAUGAAGAUUCUCGGAUCGUAAAACCCUGUCAGGUGGGAUGAAAAACCAUUCGGUUAAUACCCGAGUGGCUUGACAGUACCACCAGAGGAAGCUCCGGCCAACUCCGUGCCAGCAGCCGCGGUAACACGGGGGGAGCAAGCGUUGUUCGGAUUUACUGGGCGUAAAGGGCGCGUAGGCGGCAAUUCAAGUCAUCUGUGAAAUCUCCGGGCUUAACUCGGAACGGUCAGAUGAUACUGCUUUGCUAGAGUGCAGAAGGGGCAAUCGGAAUUCUUGGUGUAGCGGUGAAAUGCGUAGAUAUCAAGAGGAACACCUGAGGUGAAGACGGGUUGCUGGGCUGACACUGACGCUGAGGCGCGAAAGCCAGGGGAGCAAACGGGAUUAGAUACCCACGUAGUCCCUGAGCGGGCUGGCAAGGCGCAU